GACGAACGCUGGCGGCGUGCUUAACACAUGCAAGUCGAACGGAAAGGCCCUGCUUUUGUGGGGUGCUCGAGUGGCGAACGUGUGAGUAACACGUGAGUAACCUGCCCUUGACUUUGGGAUAACUUCAGGAAACUGGGGCUAAUACCGGAUAGGAGCUCCUGCUGCAUGGUGGGGGUUGGAAAGUUUCGGCGGUUGGGGAUGGACUCGCGGCUUAUCAGCUUGUUGGUGGGGUAGUGGCUUACCAAGGCUUUGACGGGUAGCCGGCCUGAGAGGGUGACCGGCCAAAUUGGGACUGAGAUACGGCCCAGACUCCUACGGGAGGCAGCAGUGGGGAAUAUUGCACAAUGGGCGGAAGCCUGAUGCAGCAACGCCGCGUGCGGGAUGACGGCCUUCGGGUUGUAAACCGCUUUCGCCUGUGACGAAGCGUGAGUGACGGUAAUGGGUAAAGAAGCACCGGCUAACUACGUG
rnacentral:rRNA from 1 species